rnacentral:rRNA from 1 species
UACGUAGGGUCCGAGCGUUGUCCGGAAUUAUUGGGCGUAAAGAGCUUGUAGGCGGUUUGUCGCGUCUGCUGUGAAAUUUCGGGGCUCAACCCCGAACUUGCAGUGGGUACGGGCAGACUAGAGUGUGGUAGGGGAGACUGGAAUUCCUGGUGUAGCGGUGAAAUGCGCAGAUAUCAGGAGGAACACCGAUGGCGAAGGCAGGUCUCCGGGCCACUACUGACGCUGAGAAGCGAAAGCAUGGGGAGCGAACAGG